CAAAUGACCAAAACCAUGGUCUACGUAACAUAUAAUGACCAAAUACAUGGUCUGUUACUAUAAUAAUAUCAAAUGACCAAAACCAUGGCCUACGUAACAUAUAAUGACCAAAUACAUGGUCUGUUACUAUAAUAAUAUCAAAUGACCAAAACCAUGGCCUACGUAACAUAUAAUGACCAAAUACAUGGUCUGUUACUAUAAUAAUAUCAAACGACCAAAACCAUGGUCUCUACAUAACAUAUAAUGAACAAAUACAUGGUCUGUUACAAUAAUAUAUAAUAUCAAACGACCAAAACCAUGGUCUCUACAUAACAUAUAAUGACCAAAUACAUGGUC
rnacentral:lncRNA from 1 species